rnacentral:lncRNA from 10 species
GGACAGUGAAGCCAUCAAAGAGCGCGUGACAGGAAGGGGGAUGCUUGGCCUGGAGUGGGCAGAGGAAGACAACACGGGCUACGCGGGCGUCUCCACCUCCGCAGAAGCAGUGAGAAGAAAGGAGCAGUCAGGCACAGCUGGGUUCGUCUUCCCGGGAAUGUGAUCUGGAGGAAACGGUUUAACCUCCCAGACCUCCCCACAUCUGUAAAGCAGAGAAGACAGCAGCACUUGCCCGAUGCGGCCAUCUCGAAGGCUCGCCACCCGCGGGAGGCACCGGAAACGGAACUGCCAGGACCCUUUUCUCAAGAUGGCGCCCAAGGUGGACCCUGAGCCAGGCCGCAUCCAGUGGG